AUUUAAGUAGUUUAAAGAAAAUUAUAGGUUGUGGUGCUAUAGAUAAGGUUACUUCUUAAAUA
rnacentral:tRNA from 1 species